UCCAUUGCCCUAACCUACCCAAACCCCUUAUCCUAUAAUAAAACCCAGAUAUAGAAAGAAUACAUCAUCACAUUUUUUAGACCUAGACCCCUACAUAGAGAAAAGCGGUGCUCCCUCUCGAUGUUCAUCAUCAUCUUCUCAAAACAGGGGCACCAACGAACAGAACCCCUCCCCCUUGAAUCCUUGUCGUCGCCGAGAUAGAAAGCAACAGAGAAUGAACUGCCUCUAAAAUCCCCUUCUCUAACCUCACUCAUCUCUCACUCAACUAUUCUGGAAAAAAAAAAGAAUUUCAGUUGAUUGGCUGGUUAUUUUCUGGGAUUGUAAGAGUAUUUAGACUCUCCAAAAUUGAUGGUUGAUUGUUGAAUCCGCGAGAGCUUCGAAAAUCUGGGUUACAAAAGCUUUAGAAAUUCUAAAAAAAAAGAAAAGAAGAAGAAGAAUCUGGGUUUGCUGCUGUUGUUUCUUCUUUCACUGAUUGAGCUCCAUUCGUUUUUGCUUGGCUAUUCUACACUUCACUUUGAGCAUUAGGUACACGCACGCGAACUUGUAUCUCUUUGUGUGUUAGAAUAAUCAAAUUUCUUUUCUCUUAUCUUCUAUGAAAUCCAGAUUUAUUGUUGCUCUCCUGUGACUUUCAUUCCCUAAUGUGCUGUUUAGUACAAGAUUAUGAGUUUACUUGUAUAUUUGGAAGCAUCACAUAUGAGAUUAAUUGAAUUUGAACCCCUAAAAUGAAUUCUCAUAAGUUGACCCAGGUUUAAUCAAGUGUUUUUAUGUAUUCUGGUGCUUCGAUUUGACAUGUUUAAUUCUAAAUGAACCUCCAGUGUUUUUUUUAUUAAGGGUUAUUCAUGUUUCUUGGUUUAACCGUAAACAAACCAUGGCUUUGCAAUAAAUCUUAGCCUGUUACAAAGGAGGCAGAUUUGGCCAUCGUUAGCUAAAUUUGUAGCAAAGGACCUUCCUUCUUCCUCUUUACGGAAUAGUGGUUAUUUCGUUACCUAAUAUGCUAUUCUGUUUUCUCUACAUGAAUGACCACACGUAAAUAUCAAUUUUGUAUAGCUAUUAAAUGUCAAUAAGUUAUGUUUGCUCCUCUGCAUUGUAGGUAACUAGAUUUGAAUGAGUUCAUGUUUUUGUUUCAAUAAUAUUUUGUCGUUUCCUUUAUGAGUCGUUUUGUUGGAAUUGGAAAAUGAUAAACUUCAGAUGUUCUUUUUUUUNNNNNNNNNNNNNNNNNNNNNNNUUAGAGAUUUCUUUAGUAUUGAUGAGUCACAUGGAUGAAAAAGCAAGUGAACCAUCCCAUGUGAUUGGAUUGGUUAAUAAGGAUGAAGAUAAUUUAUUAGGACAUUCUUUAAAAAAGUUGAAACGCAUACAUUCGUUUCAUAUGACAAGGUGGCUAAUAUCUUGAUAUUUGAAUUACUGGAUCAACGUUGUGGCAGUAAGUGUGCCCGUUAACCAUCGAUUCUCCCAAAAUGAUCUAAGUAUUAAAUGUUAGCAAUAUAUUAAGUUGAAACAUUUUAAUAAGUUCAAGGUAUAAAUUAUGCUUUAAUAAUAAUGAUAGCCAAACUACAACCUUCUCUCACAAUGAUUGUGUAUCCAUACUUCUCAUGACCCUCAUAUAAAUUAAGCUAACACUUAUAGAAAAAGUUUGAGGUGUGCCAUAAAUAAAUUAAAUCAUCCAUGUCCCUCACAAAUGUUGCUAUUAAAAUUGAACCUUCGUAGUUGCUUUAGGCGCAUUUCUUUAAAUAAUUCAUCAUAGCUACGGGUACGGUUCCCGUGACGUAGUUGCCUUUUUUUAAAAAAAAAUCGGGUAUACAUUUCAUGUGACCCAAUUUCAAUCUUCAACAAUGUUAAAUAGAACGUGUCGCGAACUGCGGGUGCAUUUCAUGUAGCGUGGUUCAAGACGUGUUUUAAAUAGCACUGAGUCUCCCUAAAAACAAUUAAAAGCGGUUAUAAAGCUAAAAAUGCACAAUAGGUUUUAAAACAUGUAGUAAAUCAGAUAAUUAGGCCAUUUUAAUAGUUCAAGUGACUGUGCUCGAACCACGAAACCCGGGAAUGCCUAACACCUUCUCCCGAAUUAACAGAAUUCCUUACUUAGAAUUUCUGGUUCGUAGACUUAUAAAGUAAAGUCGAAAUUUCCUCGAUUUGGGAUUUAAAACAAACCGGUGACUUGGGACACCAAAUAAACUAUUCCAAGUGGCGACUUUGAUAAAAUAAAUAAAAUAAUCUCAUUUCGAUUAAUGUCACUUAAAUUGAAAAAAUCCCCUUAUAUCUCCCUCUCGGUUGGUAAAAAGGGAGGUGUGACAAUGGCUUGUUCAGAAAAUGGGUCGUGACAUCUUCUUAUAUCAAAAUCCUCAUAAGUUUUUUAGACUAACCACAGUCAUGCACAAUUUUAAAAAAUCUUACUUCAUAAGGUCUAAAAACACCACAAAACCCUUAGAGGGCGUUUGGUAGGGUGUAUAAGAAUGGUGUGGAAUAAGGUGCAUGUAUUAGUAAUGCAUGUGAGCAUUAGUUAUGCAAAUAUUAUUUCUUAUCUAUUGUUUGGUGUGAUGUAUUAAAAUUAUAAUGCAUUGCAUAAUUUUUAAGAAAAAUAGUUGUUUACAAAAAUGCACUUCAUAUUCUCUAGCUUUAAGGGACUUUAAGGACAAUUCUAUCUUUAGCCAUACUAAUGUAUGCAUUAAUAGCAUUGGUAUUACUAAUUCCAUGAUUUUCUAUGCAUUACUUAUACAUAGGAUAAUACCAAGUAUGAUGUAUAACUAAUAGAAGUAUUAGUCAUACAUAAGUUGAAAAAUGUACCAAACAAGGUAUUAGUAAUGCAUAGAGCUAAUGCUUGCAUUAUUUUUUCUAAUACCUCCUACCAAACGACCUCUUAGAACCUAAGUACAAAACCAAAAAAGCAAAAUAGUUCGAUUGAAGUGAAUCAAACUCGAUCGAUAGAUACGAACAUCAUCUCGACUGUUAUGGGUGAUUUCUUUGAUCCAUAGGACCUCCCAACAGUUUAAGACUCUUGCUCUAUCUCAUCAGUCAAUGCCUCAGCUUCACCAUAGCUAUAAUUGCUAAUCUGAUUCACAUUCCUUUCAAUCUGAUCAUCAUGUAAUGACCCGACUGGUCAUUUUGAUUUUUAGAACCCCGUCCCCCUAAAUAAGACUUCCCUCGCUUGCUUUAACUAAUUUAUGACCUGCGGGGAUGGUUGGUUCGGGAUUUGGAAGAGUUUGGGUUGGAAUAGGCACACUUGAUUCCCUAAGAUUUUCUUAAAAGGCUAAGUUUGACUUUGGUCAACAUUUUUAAUAAAUGGACCUGGACUUGUGUUUUGAUGGUCCUGGAGGGUCCAUAGGAAAAUAUGGGACCUGGGCGUAUACCCGGAAUCGAAUUCCGAGGUCCCUAGCCCGAGUAAUGAAUUUUUGUUAGAAAUUGUUAAACUGAAAUUCUAAGGAUUUAAUGAAAUUGAAUAACGCUUGAUCAUGUUGGUAUCGGGUCCGUAUGUUGGUUCCAAAGCCCGGUACAUGUCCAAUAUAACAUUUAAGUCUUGUCUGUGAAAUUUGGUGAGAAACGGGAUUGAUUUGACGUGAUUCGGACGUCUGGUUGUAAAAAUAAGAAUUUGAAUGUUCUUAAGGAUUUCAUGCGUUUUGGUUUUGAAUCCGUAGUUUUAGAUGUUAUUUCGGCAAUUUGAUCGCUUGAACAAGUUUGUACAAUGUUAUUGGACUUGUACGAGUGUUCGGAGUGGAUCCCCGAGGGCUCGGGUGAGUUUUGGGCAUAGGUUGGGAGUAGAGCACACUAGAUUUUUGGUGUUUUUGGUUGUUGCAGCAGAUCUCGCAAUUGCGAGUUGCGAGGAGGGCUUCACAAUUGCGAAGGAGCCCGACCCAGGCAGAGUUCCGCAUUUGCGAUCCCAUCAGAAGUCACAAUUGCGAAUCCUCAGUCGCAUUUGCGAUACAGCAGCAUAAGCCCAGAUUUCGCAUUUGCGAGGCUUUUGUUGCAUUUGCGAACCUGGUGUCGCAAAUGCAACAUCAGAGGCCUGGGCACAACUUUUAAAAAUGGGACUUAGGCCAUUUAUUUCAUUUAACUUCUACACUUGGCGAUUUGGGAGGUUUCAAAGAGGGGAUUUCAACCUAACAUUGUGAGGUAAGUUAUUUCUACUUAAUGUGAGUUUAAUACUUGGGUUUUGGGUAGAUUAACACACUAAAAUUAGUGAAAAUCAUGGGAUUUGAGUGAAAACCUAGGGUUUUGAUAAAGACAAGAUUUAACUACGAAAUUUGUUAUGGAAUGGAAUAAAAAUCAUAUAUUCUUGAUCCUUAGGCUAUGGGUAACAACUUUCUUCAAAAAGUUUCAGAAUCCGGGCACGUGGGCUCGGGGUCGAAUUUUAGGAAUGUUGUAAUUUGGGUUGGGGAAUCACCCUAAUGGUUGGGAUAUGAACUUUUAAGCCUAUAUUGAUUAGUUUCUAUGCUAUUUGGAUAGUUUUGGCGUGUGUGGCACCAAAUUGAGGAUUUGGGCUUAAGCUUGGACCGAAAAGUAGGUCGUGAAGCGAGGUAAGUUUCAUUUCUAACCUUGUAAGAGGGAAUUGUCCCCAUAGGUGAAAUAAUUGAAUAAUUUGCCACUAAAUGCGGGGGCUACGUAUGCACUAGGUGACGAGAGUCCAUGCGUAGCCACUAUUAUGUUAAUUGUCUGGGUAGUUAGGACCCGUAUCAUGCCAUAUUUGUGAUUGUUUAUAUCCUUUCAUGCUAAUAAGAUCACUUAGGAUAUGCUAGAGAUUUCGAAAUGAACAUAUGUGAACGUAUGCACUUUCUUGAACACUUGUAUGAAUUAUUUGAAUAUAAAUGCGCCUUUUAUGCAUUUUCUUAAUGAUAAUUGAUAUUUGUGCAUUGGGCCGAUCGUCUCGGUAGAAAUAGAUGCAUCUAUGGUCCGCGCCAUUCGACCUUCUGGCAGUGCACAGUUUCUUUUCUGUUGGACCGAGCCGUACGACCUCGGCAUAACGUGCGCAUGAUAUUUAUGUGAAAUCUUAUUCAUGACUUACUUUGUUAGAUGCUCUGAAAUAUAAAUGGCUAGCUGUGAUAUUAUCUAGGACAUGACCGAUCACUUUUUGCUAUAAAUUAUUAUUUAUUUAUGACAUCCAUGCUUAGCAUAACACUUUAUUAUAUUAUUUGACCCUAGUAAGUAUCAAGUCGACCUCUCGUCUCUACUUCGAGAUUAGGCGGGAUACUUACUGAGUACAUAUUAUUUAUGUACUCAUAUUACGUUUUUGUACUUAAUUGUACAUGAUCUGAGGCAAUUACAUUUGGAUACCAGUCUGGUGCGCGUUCUUGAUCAUAGUCCGAGACUUCCACGGUGAGCUGCUCCCUUUCUAUGCCGUUCAUCAUCUUGAUGGAGUCUCUCUUUACUUUUGGCUGUCUAUUCUAUUUCAGACAGUAGGAUAGAUUUACUCUUUUGUAUAUUCUAUUAGAUGCCCACAUACUUGUGACACCAGGUCUUGGCACACACAUUAGUAGACUAUUCUUUUGAGGAUUGUAUAAUUAUUUUUGGUACGUUACUAAUUAUCACUUGUUUUAACUUCAAAGUAAGUAAUUGUUAUACUUGUUUUGGUAAACUAAAACGAGAACUUAUUAAUAUUUUCGCGUUGGCUUGCCUGACAAUGGUGUUGGGCGCCAUCACGACCUAUAAUAAAAUUGGGUCGUGACGCAUCAUCUCUACUACUUUUGCUUUCUUUGCUGCCCUUUAUAGCACAAGCUCCAAAUUCACUAACAAACCCAGUUUUACACUUUCUUGUUCCCUCAUCAGCAACAGCAUCAUCAUGUUAUACUGCUAAUCCAACCUUGUCACAACCAAGGCACCUGGUGAGUUUACAUGUGAAAAGCAACUCAGCAAUUCUAUCUUUUUUAAUUUCAACUCUUUGGAAUGAUUUACAGUUGUUACCUGUGAGCACAUGAUUUUGCCCUAUAUGAAUUACUCCCACAAAUUCAAAACAAAAUAAUUUCUUUUCGUUGUUUGUAAUUUCGUGGAUUUUUGUGGCAUUUUUCGUUAAUUGUUUGUAUUUGUCUGUGCACGUUACUUUUGUUUAAUUCAUGAAAAAUACAAAAAAUGUAAUACAUUUGCAUAUAGGACUUAAUUUUACAUCUUAGAUUAAUUAGUAAAUUAAUUUGUUUGACAAAAAUAGAAAAAAUCACAAAAAUGACUCAUUUUUGCAUUUUACUUAACUUUGAAUUUCUUUUAAUUUGGAAUUAAUUAGUUGUGGUAAGUAUUAUUUUGAGUAAUUAGCUUAAUUUGGUAAAAUAUUUAGUUUAAGAGUAAUUUAGGAUUUGAUUUAAUUUGAAAAGGAAAAAUUGAUUAAAAAUGAAAAAGUCAAAUAAAAAGGGGCUGUGAUUUGGGUCAUUUGGGCAGACCCAAAUGAACUUAUUCCCCGUACCCGCUCGAGUCCGGCCCAGCUUCCCCCCAAUACCCGGUCCACCCGUUCAGCUGACCAAACGACCCCGUUUCCCAGGUUCUCGAUCUGAGCCGUUGAUCCUGCGUGAUCAGAAGGCCAGGAACUGGGGUCUUUGUCACAUAUAAGUGUCCGAAUCCGCCUACCCCCACUCUAACUCAUCUCUUUCAUUGCCUUUUUCUUCAGAGAUCAAACCUCAACCCUAGCGCCGCCCUAGUUUCCUCCGGUGGCGGUGCCGUCUCCCAAUCCAUCCCAAAUUGAUACUACAAGACCACCACGACUCCCUCGUUCUAAAUCCCUGAUUGGUUUCCCUCGAAUCUUCACCAGACCCGUCGAAUCUGGGUUUGAAGAUGAACCCUAAAAUUCAAAAAAUCCCAAAUCGAGUUUUUGUGAAACAUUUAGGUCUAAUAUGACAUUAUUUGUAUGUUCUUUACAAGAACACACGAUUAAUAUCAGAUUUGGCCAAAAAUUCGAAGAUUUGAAGAUUCAGGUUCCAUUCUCCACUGUCCGGGCUUUAGUAGGAAUUUUCUUCACUUUUUUUUCUUUUUCUAUUUUUCUGCUUCUUCUCUUUUCUGUUCGUUUUCUUUGUCCCUCUCCUUUUCCUCCAGUCUUUCCUUAGUUGGAUUUCUUGAUUUGAAUUUGGUAAAAUAUUAAAGCAUUGAUUAUAAGUUUAUGUGUUUAUAUGGUGUUUGUAUUUAUUCCGUGAGCUUUUCAAAUUUUCUUGUAGAAGUUCUUGUAAAUUCCGUUUUAGUUUAUGCAUAUUGCCCGUUCAAGUUCUGUUAUGUUUUUCCAGUCAUAUAAUUGGCUCAGGUUAAUUCGAAUAUGUGAUUUAUUUGUAGCUCAUUGUUUUAAUUUAAAAGAAGAUCAGUCAGUUGAGCUUAGUUUAGUUAUGAAAAAAUCAAGUAAUUUUGUUCUUCUAAUUUUCAAAUGAGCUUUUGAUAUUGUUUGGGCCUUCGAUGUCAUUUUUGAAUCCUUCGUAGGGGCCUUUUAAGUGUUGGGUCAAACUUGACCCAUCAACACUUCAAAUUGGGUCAAUUUGACCCAUAUCUCUGCCUGGACCAGGGGUGAUUUCCAGGUGCUUAAGGGGUAGUUUAGGAACUUAGGCCUAAGGAAUCUUUGAAUAACUGAAUAGGAAGCUUCUAGGAAGCUGGGGUUUGGGACUAUUCUGAAAUGCUGAAAUUUACAACAGGGGCACUUAGGCUAAAAUGAAAAUUUUAGAAGGUGCAAAGUGCAAACCUGAUUUUCUUUAGGUUGCCCUAGUAGCUUGCCUAUAAAGGCACCUUAACUUGACACUCAAGUCAGGAAGUAGAGACAUAAUCCAGAGAAAACAAAAAUGGCUGAAAAUUUCAAUAAAAUCACUGUUUCAUUGAACUUCUUCUAUGAUUUUUGAAGUUUUUUUUAAAAUUUCUGAAACAAUUUCUGAUUCAUCUGGGGUGGAAAUGGAUUGAAUUUGGGUCUUGUAAAAGUUUGGUUUGAAGUUUGCUGGGUUAUUAUUCGAUUGAACCGUGUUUUUUAGACUGCUGCACAUCAUGUUUCUGGUUUGAAAUUGGUUUUACUGAUUAUUUCUUGCUGCUGAAGUUCUGGUUCUGCUGCUGUCUACUGCUUUCCUCACUUCUUUUUCUUUCAAUCUCCAGGUAUCUCUUUGAACUUUGAAUGGAAAUUGAAGCUGUGAAUGUGGCUUUUGUAUGGAAAGUUUGUUUCUGUUGAAGUUCAAUAAAAACUGCUAUUUGUUUGAAGCUUGGUUUUCAUAUUCUGCUCGGUUUAUUUAGCUUCUUGUCCAUUUCUCCUCUUAUUUUUUUUCUUAAACGUAAUAGAUUUGUAAUAAUAAUUGCUCUAGUGAUUCAUGUUUAAGUGUUAAAAUUGUAUGAAAGUUUGAAGUGGAACCAUGGUAAUUAGCUCUUUGUUUCGCAUUUCUUUAGUUGAGUUGAGCUUAAUUAGUUUCAUUGCUCAAUGUUUGAGUACUCCUUUGAAUAAGGUUGAUCGGUUUAUUCCCCAUUUGAAGUCUGUCAAUGUUAACUUAGCAUAGAUGGUUGAUUGGAAUAUGUAAGUGUCUUAGUUUUAAAACAAUUUGUCAUACUUAGUAUUUGCAUCUAUUUGGGACUAUUUCUUUCAAGGGACUGUUGGCAUUUCGUGUUGUUAGGCAUGGUGUCAAGUGCAAUUAUAAUCGAUUUCUUUUGUAAUUAAAGGCAUGCUCUAAUAGAAUUGUUGGGUUAAGAUUGGCAAACAUAUUUACCAUUUAGAACCAUAUGGUUAUUAUAAUUGAUAAACUUGGUUUUGAAGUUGGCAAUAUGGUCAUUUAUGUAAUAUGAG
rnacentral:lncRNA from 1 species